GAUGCCAGUUUAUUGCUCAUUUCAGAAAUAGUUAAGGAUCUCGGAUAGUCUCUUCUCUCUGCACCAAGAGGAGGGAGAAUCUUUAUGUGACUAUGUGGCGCACUUCAAUGUGGCUACUCUAGAAGUGUGCAAUCUGGAUAAUAUUGUCGCCAUGUCAGCUCUAAAGAGAGGCCUUCACAACAAGCACCUUAUCUACUCUCUCA
rnacentral:lncRNA from 1 species